rnacentral:misc_RNA from 1 species
GAUGAAGAACGUAGUAAAAUGCGAUAAGUAAUGUGAAUUGCAGAAUUCAGUGAAUCAUCGAAUCUUUGAACGCACAUUGCGCCCGCCAGUAUUCUGGUGGGCAUGCCUGUUCGAGCGUCAUUUCAACCCUCAAGCACAGCUUGGUGUUGGGACUCGCGUUAAUUCGCGUUCCUCAAAUUGAUUGGCGGUCACGUCGAGCUUCCAUAGCGUAGUAGUAAAACCCUCGUUACUGGUAAUCGUCGCGGCCACGCCGUUAAACCCCAACUUCUGAAUGUUGACCUCGGAUCAGGUAGGAAUACCCGCUGAACUUAAGCAUAUCAAUAAGCGGAGGA